UACGUAGGGCGCAAGCGUUAUCCGGAAUUACUGGGCGUAAAGGGCUCGUAGGCGGCCAACUAAGUCAGACGUGAAAUCCCUCGGCUUAACCGGGGAACUGCGUCUGAUACUGGAUGGCUUGAAUCCGGGAGAGGGAUGCGGAAUUCCAGGUGUAGCGGUGAAAUGCGUAGAUAUCUGGAGGAACACCGGUGGCGAAGGCGGCAUCCUGGACCGGCAUUGACGCUGAGGAGCGAAAGCCAGGGGAGCAAACGGG
rnacentral:rRNA from 1 species